CCUACGGGUGGCAGCAGUGAGGAAUAUUGGUCAAUGGGAGAGAUCCUGAACCAGCCAAGCCGCGUGAGGGAAGACGGCCCUAUGGGUUGUAAACCUCUUUUGUCGGAGAACAAAACCCGGGACGUGUCCCGGCCUGCGUGUAUCCGACGAACAAGCAUCGGCUAACUCCGUGCCAGCAGCCGCGGUAAUACGGAGGAUGCGAGCGUUAUCCGGAUUUAUUGGGGUUAAAGGGUGCGUCGGCGGUCCGUUAAGUCAGCGGGAAAAUUGCGGGGCUCAACCCCGUCGAGCCGUUGAAACUGGCAGACUUGAGUUGGCGAGAAGUACGCGGAAUGCGCGGUGUAGCGGUGAAAUGCAUAGAUAGCGCGCAGAACUCCGAUUGCGAAGGCAGCGUACCGGCGCCAGACUGACGCUGAGGCACGAAAGCGUGGGGAUCGAACAGGAUUAGAUACCCCAGUAGUC
rnacentral:rRNA from 1 species